rnacentral:rRNA from 1 species
AUGGCGCGUGCUGUGGUGAGCGCUGUAGUAGGCCCACUGGGUCCCCUACUGGAGAAGCUCAACGCUCUCCACGCCGGCGAGUAUGGCCGCAUGAGGGGGGUCCGCACUCUCAUCGGCUCCCUCAGAUCUGAGCUCACCAGCAUGCAUGCUACCGUAAAAGAUUACGAUCCCGAGAUGCUAGAAGAACAAGCCGUCGAAGUGAAGACAUGGAUAGCAUUGCUCAGGGAGUUGGCCUAUGACACCGAGUAUUGCAUCGACAAGUUCAUUCACCAGCUCGGCAGUGACGGCCGUCAUGGCGGCUUCAAGGAGUUUUUCCGCAAGGCCGCCCGUAAUCUGAAGACGCUUUUGUCUCUGCGUGGAAUCGCCGGUCAAAUCGACCAACUCAAGGUUCGUAUCAAUGAAGUGAAAGACUUAAAAAAUAGUUCCAAGCUAGAUGAUACCCUUUGUAGCACCCAUAAAGCCGUGGAUCCCCGUCUGGUUGACCUUUUAGCUAAGGAUGUGCACCUUGUGGGUUUGGAUGGUCCAAGAGACGAUAUUGCCAAAUGGAUGCUAGAAGGAAACAGCUCAUCUAAUAAUUGCAAGGUGUUGUCUAUUAUUGGGUUUGGUGGGUUGGGAAAAACUGCCCUAGCGAGCGAAAUCUACCGCAAGAUUGAAACUCAUUUUCAUUUUAGGGCUUUUGUAUCAGUUUCGCAAAAACCAAGUAUUAAGAGUAUUAUCAAGGAUGUGAUCUACAAAGUGCCUUGUCCAGAUGGAUUUAUAAAAGAUAUCGAUGUUUGGGAUGAAAUGACAUCUAUUGCAAAGUUGAGAGAGCUACUACAAGAUAAGAGGUAUCUCGUCAUAGUUGAUGACAUAUGGUCUAGACAAGCAUGGAACACCAUCAAGUGUGCUUUUCCAGAGAAUAAUUGUUCGAGCAGAAUUAUCACUACCACACGCAUUGUUGAGGUAGCAUUGGCAUGUUGUGUUGGCCGUGAGGACCGCGUGUAUGAAAUGAAAGCCCUGAGUGAUGUUCACUCUAAAAGUUUGUUUUUCAAAAGAAUAUUUGGCUCUGAAGACUGCCCUGAUUCCCUGAAAGAAGUUUCAAAUAAAAUCCUUAAAAAAUGUGGAGGCCUACCAUUGGCAAUUGUAAGUAUAUCUGGUCUUCUAGCAAACAAACCAGCUGUCAAAGAGGACUGGGAGCAGGUCAAAAGGUCAAUUGGGUCUGCAAUGGAAAAAACCCGGUCUCUGGAGGGAAUGCGUAGCAUACUAUCCCUUUCGUACAAUGAUCUUUCACUUCCUCUCAGGGCAUGCUUAUUGUACCUAAGUAUAUUUCCUGAGGACUAUGUGAUUGAAAGAGAGAGACUAGUGAGACUAUGGAUAGCAGAAGGACUUAUCUCUGAAGAGAAUGGACGGAGCAGACAAGAGGUUGCCGAGAACUACUUUUACAUGCUUAUCAAUAAAAGCAUGAUCUUACCAGUGGAUAUUGGCUAUGAUGGUAAGGCUCGUGCUUGUCGAGUUCAUGACAUGAUUCUUGAACUUAUUAUUUCAAAAUCCACUGAAGAUAAUUUUACCACAUUGGUAAGCACUGGGCUACAUGGUUUGGUAAAUCGACAAGGUUUUAUUCGACGGCUAUCUGUCCAGCACAUUGACCAGGAGCUUGCAUCUGCACUAGCAAAUGAAGAUCUAAGCCACGUACGAUCUCUAAUAGUGACAGCAUCUGCAGGUUGCAUCAAACUCUUGCCUAGUCUUGUUAAAUUUGGAGGUUUACAUGUAUUGGAUGUUGAAGAUUGCGUUGGUUUGGAGGAUUAUAUUAUGAAUGACAUUGACAAAUUAUUUCGACUGAAGUACCUGUGUCUUAGUGGAAAGUCCAUAUCAGAGUUACCAUCAGGGACCGUGGAGCUAGGCAAUUUAGAGACCCUAGAUCUGCGGAACACAUCCGUGCAGGAGUUGCCAGAUGGAACUUUUAAGUUCACUAAACUAGAGCACCUGCAUGGUGCAGGGCAAACAAAGAUACCAAACGGCCUUGGGGGUAUGAGGAACUUACGGGUGAUCUCAAGCUUUAAUGUUUCACGGAGUGAAACAGAUGCGGUGGAGGAGCUCGCGAACAUGAUAAAUUUGGAUGAACUCAAAGUAUACCUCGAUAGUGGAAGAUCUGACAAGUGCAAGAAGCAUGAAGAGCUGUUAUUCUCCUUGUUAUGCAAGCUAGGCACCUGCAAACUCCGAUCUCUAUGGAUACAUAAGCCUGGUGGUUCCCUUGAGUUGUUAGAUUCUUGGUCCCUUCUACCAUCUUCCCUUCAAAUAUUUCGUAUCUCCGGUGACUAUUGUUUCAUGAAUAUUCCAAAGUGGACUGCACCGGCACUCACCAGUCUUGCUUACCUGGAGAUCAGCUUAACUGAAUUAAAGGAGGAGGAUCUGCACACUCUUGGUGAACUUGCAAGCUUACUUUAUCUGAAACUGUCCUUCGUAGCCGACCCAGUUGAACUGAUCGAAGUCCAAGCAAGUACCGGAUUUCAGUGCCUCAUUAAGUUUGUCAUCUACAGUGUGGCUGGGGCGCACGUUAAGUUCAUGGAAGGAGCUAUGCCGAAGCUUGAGAAGCUUAAUUUGCGACUGCAUGUGUCACUGGCAAGACAUUCUGGCUUCGAAUUAGGUUUUCAGCAUCUUUCAUCUCUCAGAGAAGCAGUAUUAAGUUUUUACAGAGUGGAUGUAACACCUUCCGAAAUCAAGGCUGCCGCUGCUGCCAUCAGGAAAGAAGCAUGCAUCCACCCGAACCGUCCCGCAAUUGAUAUUUCAGAGGAAUUCUAUGGAAAGUAUAACGAGAUCGGCAGUGACGAGGAGGACUUGAGGUAG